GGCUCCAUAGUACAACGGAUUAGUACGUAAGCUUCCGGCGCUUGAGAUCUGGGUUCGAUUCCCGGUGGGGCUACUA
rnacentral:tRNA from 1 species